rnacentral:rRNA from 1 species
CAGUAGCCGCGGUAAUACGAAGGGGGCUAGCGUUGCUCGGAAUGACUGGGCGUAAAGGGCGCGUAGGCGGCGGCCAAAGUCAGGCGUGAAAUUCCUGGGCUCAACCUGGGGGCUGCGCUUGAUACUUGGUUGCUUGAGUGGGGAAGAGGGUCGUGGAAUUCCCAGUGUAGAGGUGAAAUUCGUAGAUAUUGGGAAGAACACCGGUGGCGAAGGCGGCGACCUGGUCCUUGACUGACGCUGAGGCGCGAAAGCGUGGGGAGCAAACAGGAUUAGAUACCCGCGUAGUCCCUGUCUCUUAUAC